CGUAGGGUGCAAGCGUUAAUCGGAAUUACUGGGCGUAAAGCGUGCGCAGGCGGUUAUAUAAGACAGAUGUGAAAUCCCCGGGCUCAACCUGGGACCUGCAUUUGUGACUGUAUAGCUAGAGUACGGUAGAGGGGGAUGGAAUUCCGCGUGUAGCAGUGAAAUGCGUAGAUAUGCGGAGGAACACCGAUGGCGAAGGCAAUCCCCUGGACCUGUACUGACGCUCAUGCACGAAGGCGUGGGGAGCAAAACAGGAUU
rnacentral:rRNA from 1 species